GACAGAGGGUGCAAGCGUUAUUCGGAAUUAUUGGGCGUAAAGGGCGCGUAGGCGGCUCGGUAAGUCGGAUGUGAAAUCCCAGAGCUUAACUUUGGAAGUGCAUCCGAAACUGCUGAACUAGAGUCUCGGAGAGGGUGGUAGAAUUCCCAGUGUAGAGGUGAAAUUCGUAGAUAUUGGGAGGAGUACCGGUGGCGAAGGCGACCACCUGGACGAAGACUGACGCUGAGGCGCGAGAGCGUGGGGAGCAAACAGG
rnacentral:rRNA from 1 species